GAAUAAGGCACACAGAAGGGCCACUUACGUUGGAAGCUUUGAAGUUUCUGUCACCCUGACCGCCAUCUUCCUAGCCAGUCGAUUACAUUUUCUGGCCAAUAAACGCGCUGUAUUGGCUGAAGGCCCCGCCUUCUGGCCAGUCAACUGCAUAUUUUUGCAUAGAAAAAUGGCGACACGUUGCACCGCUGAGCGGCCCUUCUGGUACUGAUCUUUAUUCUGUG